AGAGUUUGAUCAUGGCUCAGGAUGAACGCUAGCGAUAGGCCUAACACAUGCAAGUCGAGGGGCAUCAUGGGGUAGCAAUACUCUGAUGGCGACCGGCGGAUGGGUGAGUAACACGUAUGCAACCUACCUACGACAUUGGGAUAACCCGUUGAAAGACGGACUAAUACCUUAUAAUACAUUGGCACCGCAUGGUGGUAUUUGUUAAAGAUUUUAUCGGUUGUAGAUGGGCAUGCGCAUGAUUAGCUAGUUGGGGAGGUAACGGCUUCCCAAGGCAACGAUCAUUAGGGGUUCUGAGAGGAAGGUCCCCCACACUGGAACUGAGACACGGUCCAGACUCCUACGGGAGGCAGCAGUGAGGAAUAUUGGUCAAUGGGCGAUAGCCUGAACCAGCCACGUCGCGUGCAGGAAGACUGUCUUAUGGAUUGUAAACUGCUUUUUCGGUAGAGUAAAGUGCGUCACGUGUGACGUAUUGCAAGUAUACCGUGAAUAAGGAUCGGCUAACUCCGUGCCAGCAGCCGCGGUAAUACGUAGGUGGCAAGCGUUAUCCGGAAUUAUUGGGCGUAAAGAGUGAGCAGGCGGCCUUUUAAGUCUGAAGUCAAAUGCAGUGGCUCAACCACUGUCCGCUUUGGAAACUGAGAGGCUAGAGUACGAGAGAGGUAUAUGGAAUUCCAUGUGGAGCGGUGAAAUGCGUAGAUAUAUGGAGGAACACCAGUGGCGAAGGCGAUAUACUGGAUCGAUACUGACGCUCAGUCACGAAAGCGUGGGUAGCAAAUAGGAUUAGAUACCCUAGUAGUCCACGCCGUAAACGCUGAGAACUAAGUGUUGGGGUGAAACCCAGCGCUGAAGCUAACGCAUUAAGUUCUCCGCCUGGGAGUACGGUCGCAAGACUGAAACUCAAAUGAAUUGACGG
rnacentral:rRNA from 1 species